rnacentral:rRNA from 1 species
AAGUCGAGCGAAUGGAUUAAGAGCUUGCUCUUAUGAAGUUAGCGGCGGACGGGUGAGUAACACGUGGGUAACCUGCCCAUAAGACUGGGAUAACUCCGGGAAACCGGGGCUAAUACCGGAUAACAUUUUGAACCGCAUGGUUCGAAAUUGAAAGGCGGCUUCGGCUGUCACUUAUGGAUGGACCCGCGUCCCAUUAGCUAGUUGGUGAGGUAACGGCUCACCAAGGCAACGAUGCGUAGCCGACCUGAGAGGGUGAUCGGCCACACUGGGACUGAGACACGGCCCAGACUCCUACGGGAGGCAGCAGUAGGGAAUCUUCCGCAAUGGACGAAAGUCUGACGGAGCAACGCCGCGUGAGUGAUGAAGGCUUUCGGGUCGUAAAACUCUGUUGUUAGGGAAGAACAAGUGCUAGUUGAAUAAGCUGGCACCUUGACGGUACCUAACCAGAAAGCCACGGCUAACUACGUGCCAGCAGCCGCGGUAAUACGUAGGUGGCAAGCGUUAUCCGGAAUUAUUGGGCGUAAAGCGCGCGCAGGUGGUUUCUUUAGUCUG